rnacentral:lncRNA from 1 species
GCUGUGUCCUCUGCGCGGGGAACACAGAGGAGUCACCGCAGCCCAUGCAGUGGCCCCAGGCCACCCAGCAGGCCCCCUCCCGGCCCCUUCCUGGCCUCCUCCCAGCACCCUACAGACUCCCCUCCUGGCCCCUCCUGCCCCCCUCCUGGCACCCUCCAUGCAUCCUUCCUGGCCCCCUCCCAGCACCCUGCAGACUCCCCUCCUGGCACCCUGCAGGCCCCCCUCCUGGCCCCUCCUGGCCCACUGCAAGCCCCCUCCUGGCCCCCUCCCAGCACCCUGCAGACUCCCUUCCAGGCCUCCUUCUUGGCCCCCUCCUGGCCUGCUGCACGCCCCAUCCUGGCACCCUCCAGGCACCUUGUAGACUCCCUUCCUGGCCCGGUCCUGACACCAUGCAGGCCCCCCUCCUGGCCCCUCCUGGCACCCUGCAGGCCCCCUUCCUGGCACCCUCCUGGCACCCUGCAGGCCCCCCUCCUGGCCCCCUCCUGGCACCCUGAAGACCCCCCUUCUGGCGCCCUCCUGGCACCCUGCAGACUCCCUUCUUGGCACCCUCCUAGCACCCUGCAGGCCUCCUUCCUGGCCCCCUCCUGGCACCCUGCAGGCCCCCCUCCUGGCACCCUCCUGGCAUCCUAUAGACCUGCUUCCUGGCCCCCUCCUGGCCCUCUGCACGCCCCCCUCCUGGCACCCUCCUGGCACCCUGCAGACUCCCUUCUUGGCCCCCUCCUAGCACCCUGCAGGCCUCCUUCCUGGCCCCCUCCCGGCACCCUGCAGACUCCCUUCCUGGCACCCUGCAGAUCUGCUUCCUGGCCCCCUCCUGGCCCCCUGCAUGCCCCUCUUAGCACCCUCUUGGCACCCUGUAGACUCCCUUCCUGGCACCCUGCAAACUUCCUUCCUGGCCCCCUCCUGGCACCCUGCAGCCUCCCUUCCUGGGCCCCUCCUGGCACCCUGCAGAUCCCCCUUCCUGGCCUACCUCCUGGCACCCUGCAGACUCCCUUCCUGGCACCCUGCAGGCCCCCCUCCUGGCAUCCUGCAGGCUCCCUUCCUGGGCCUCUCCUGGCACCCUGCAGAUCCCCCUUCCUGGCCUACCUCCUGGCACCCUGCAGACUCCCUUCCUGGCCCCCUCCUGGCACCCUGCAGGCUCCCCUCCCAGCCCUCUCCCAAUACCUUCUAGGCUACCCUCCAG